rnacentral:rRNA from 1 species
UACGUAGGUGGCAAGCGUUGUCCGGAUUUACUGGGCGUAAAGAGCGCGCAGGCGGUCGUUCAAGUCGCGUGUGAAAUCCCCGGGCUCAACCUGGGAACUGCAUUUGUGACUGCAUCGCUGGAGUGCGGCAGAGGGGGAUGGAAUUCCGCGUGUAGCAGUGAAAUGCGUAGAUAUGCGGAGGAACACCGAUGGCGAAGGCAAUCCCCUGGGCCUGCACUGACGCUCAUGCACGAAAGCGUGGGGAGCAA